rnacentral:rRNA from 1 species
AUUGAACGCUGGCGGCAGGCCUAACACAUGCAAGUCGAGCGGAUGAAGGGAGCUUGCUCCUGGAUUCAGCGGCGGACGGGUGAGUAAUGCCUAGGAAUCUGCCUGGUAGUGGGGGAUAACGUCCGGAAACGGGCGCUAAUACCGCAUACGUCCUGAGGGAGAAAGUGGGGGAUCUUCGGACCUCACGCUAUCAGAUGAGCCUAGGUCGGAUUAGCUAGUUGGUGGGGUAAAGGCCUACCAAGGCGACGAUCCGUACUGGUCUGAGAGGAUGAUCAGUCACACUGGAACUGAGACACGGUCCAGACUCCUACGGGAGGCAGCAGUGGGGAAUAUUGGACAAUGGGCGAAAGCCUGAUCCAGCCAUGCCGCGUGUGUGAAGAAGGUCUUCGGAUUGUAAAGCACUUUAAGUUGGGAGGAAGGGCAGUAAGUUAAUACCUUGCUGUUUUGACGUUACCAACAGAAUAAGCACCGGCUAACUUCGUG